GGUUUCAAUUAAAGAACACCUGUGGAAAGAAAUCGGUUUGUGGUUGUCUUAGCAAACCGCAUGUGAAAAUAGAUUUUCACAGGCGGUUCUCAGUUAACCGCCAGUACAAAGAUUUAUUUGUACUGGCUCUUAGCGCCAGCGGUUACGAAAAACACCUGUAGAAAUAUGUUGACAACCGCCACUAUUGAGCUUCUUUCUACUAGUGACUUCCACUUGGCUUUUGCGUCUAUUUAGUUUGGUGCUCCCAGAGAGAUAGGAUUAUGACGACGAAUCGUGGUUCCAACUGUGCUUCUGUUUUUAUACUUUUCUUCCUGGGAUUGCCGUGGACCGUGGUGGUUGGGAACAUGCAUGUUAGAAUGAAAACCGCUAAUUGAUGUGGCCAUAGGUUAGCCGGUGCCCUUUGUGCAGCACGCUUGCGGUUGUCAAACGAUCAACAUGUAUUACAAGUGCCCCCCUCAUUUCUUUGCCUUCUUACAUAUGAUCAGACGAGUAUAUAUAUGGGGGCAGAAGCUCUCAAUGUUGUAUUUAGGUUUAUGUCGAGUUAUAACAAAUCUAUAUAAAUCCAAUGCU
rnacentral:lncRNA from 1 species